GGAGCAUGUGGUUUAAUUCGAUGCAACGCGAAGAACCUUACCAAGGCUUGACAUAUACGAGAACGCUGCAGAAAUGUAGAACUCUUUGGACACUCGUAAACAGGUGGUGCAUGGUUGUCGUCAGCUCGUGUCGUGAGAUGUUGGGUUAAGUCCCGCAACGAGCGCAACCCUCGUUCUAUGUUGCCAGCACGUAAUGGUGGGAACUCAUGGGAUACUGCCGGGGUCAACUCGGAGGAAGGUGGGGAUGACGUCAAAUCAUCAUGCCCCUUAUGUCUUGGGCUUCACGCAUGCUACAAUGGCCGGUACAAAGGGCUGCAAUACCGUAAGGUGGAGCGAAUCCCAAAAAGCCGGUCCCAGUUCGGAUUGAGGUCUGCAACUCGACCUCAUGAAGUCGGAGUCGCUAGUAAUCGCAGAUCAGCAACGCUGCGGUGAAUACGUUCCCGGGUCUU
rnacentral:rRNA from 1 species